rnacentral:hammerhead_ribozyme from 1 species
GUACUGCUGGAGAGUCCCAAACUAGGACGAAACAGCUGUCAAGUAC